GUGAGGAAUAUUGCGCAAUGGAGGCAACUCUGACGCAGCCAUGCCGCGUGCAGGAAGAAGGCGCUACGCGUUGUAAACUGCUUUUAACCGGGAAGAAACCCCAGGACGUGUCCUGGGUUGACGGUACCGGAGGAAUAAGCACCGGCUAACUUCGUGCCAGCAGCCGCGGUAAUACGAAGGGUGCAAGCGUUAUCCGGAUUCAUUGGGUUUACAGGGUGCGUAGGCGGAGCGUUAAGUCAGUGGUGAAAUCCUGCAGCUUAACUGUAGACUUGCCAUUGAUACUGGCGCUCUUGAGUGCGCUUGAAGUGGGCGGAAUGUGCCGUGUAGCGGUGAAAUGCUUAGAUAUGGCACAGAACACCAAUUGCGAAGGCAGCUCACUAAGGCGAUACUGACGCUGAGGCACGAAAGCGUGGGGAUCGAACAGGAUUAGAAACCCGUGUAGUCC
rnacentral:rRNA from 1 species